CGAGAGCUCAACCAGGACGGGAGCUGUUCUGGUUGAGCUCUCAAAAAAUUCAUCCAUCAAAUACCUGAGAACCUUACUACAACUCCUCGGGGAUAUCAACUAUUUUAUCUCAUCCAGCACGUUUUUCAUCUGAGGAUAAAUAUUCAACGCUAAGAAUCAGAAUUAAGAAACGGUUUGGACCAUUAUCGACGCAACAUGAUAUUACAAAUUCUCGCUUCAAUGAAAGAUUAUUUUGGAGUUGGACUGAUCCGAGACCUUCAAAUACCUGAGGAAGCCGUCGCCGCGCCGCCGGCCAAAUCUAGGAGCCGCAAAUGUGGCCCCACCACGACCACGUGCUAACGCAUUCCGUAUUCACCAACGGGGAUUUUUUGGAGUUCGGGAAACAGGAGCAUCUCGCCCCAAAACCUCCAAAGGCCAUGUGGCGAGGGCACCGCCAGCGAGGACCCCCUUCGAGUGGAUGAGUAGACGAGUUAUCAGAGUCAGUGCAACCCUAGGAAAACAGGAACGAAGGACAAAUACCGAAUAGUUUAUUCGGACCUCCAAAGGAUCGAAUUAGAAAAAGAAUCCACUUUAUUUAAUUGUUACAUAACAAUAAAACAAAAAUCGGGACUCGCUGCUACUCUGGGUUUAUCAGAGCGCCAAGUUAAAACCUAGUUUCAAAACAGACGAGCGAAAGGGCGGAAACAAGCAAAAAGAAGUGCAUUGGAGAGAAAAGCCAAAUGGACAGCUUUUACCAGCAGAACCUCUUACAGCAGCAGCAAAAUAAAUAAUAAAAAGUAGUAAAAAAUAAAAAAUAAAUAAAAAAUAAUAAAUAAUAAAAAAUAAUAACAAAUCAUAAAUAAUAACAAAUCAUAAAUAAUAACAAAUCAUAAAUAAUAACAAAUCAUAAAUAAUAACAAAUCAAAAAUAAUAACAAAUCAUAAAUAAUGAAAAAUAAAUAAAUAAUUAAAAAGUUUUAUGUAAUAAUAAUUGUUUUAUUCUUUCUGCUUGCC